CCGCGCGCCCACCGCCAAACCCGGCCUACCGUUGCUGUAGGCGUACGGGGACUCGGCUGCGCCGUCCUGAAGGCUCUCCAGGAUCUCGCCCUUGCCCACGUCGCUGUCGCCCACCAGCAGGAACUUGAGCAGGAAGAAGCGGCCUAGCACCUGAUCCAGUGCCCGAUUCAUCUUGAGCCCAGCAGGAGCACCCAUCAACCACUGCAGCAGAUGUUGGAGCUCCUCAGCCACGUGCUACAGAGACAUGGGCAGGGACGGGAUGACAUGGUCACACUGAGGCACUUGAAGCAUCUGUGGUGCAUCUGUGAAGCAUCUAUACCUGAACAGAUGGGCCUCACACAAUCAUAGGCUCCAGAUAAAAAAUACUGACCCAGAAGGGACACAACAGCCUCUACUACGCCAUCCUUUGAGAUGCAAAGUUACUACCCCAUCUUACCCACAUGAAGGACAAAGCAACCCUGAGCAAAGACCCCCAAUCUUGGAUCCUUUCCCGAGGAAGAUACAGAUCUUGUGAUGAACUCCAGCUGCCAUUCUAGGGCUCACACAAACCCUUGGACACGAGGGGAAGUUGUCCUGCAGACAAGUGCCCAGGGCUUGCGGGACCCAGAUGCAGCUGCUCCCCUUCCUGUAGGUAAGCCAGCCCAGAGAAGACCUUGCAUGAACAACUUAGAAAAGCUUUUUGUUUUUGUAAUACUAAGGAUUUGUAAGACUGAGGGCCUCCUAGGAGCUAUAAGCUCAGCCCAAAGCGGACAGUUCUAAAGGCACCCUUAAGUUGAGCUGUAGGACUUCAAAAUGCUGAUGCUGACUAAAAGAACAACCCAAGCCUGAAAAAAAGCUCUCUUUCCAACAGCCAUUCCCAGGUGGGUCAAGUAAGGAAGAUUCAGGAAGCCUCUCCAUAGAACUACAAACCGUAUCACCUGUAAACUGAAAUAAACCUCACCCCCCCACCCCCCAAAAAAAA